AAUUCUCCUCUCGGACUUGCGAUCCCCUCAUUUCUUUCCUCACCAGCGCACAUCUUCGACCAGGGGCAGAGCCGAGCCCUAGCCUCGCCUUCUUCUGGUUUUCUUGCGUUGUGCCCUAGGUUUUCUCUUGCUGUUGGAUCCGAACAAAACAGUAGUGAGUAUCAGACAGGAGCAAGCAGUGACGAGUUCUUCUUGUGUCUCUGCUUGGUAGUGCCGAAGACAAUACCGAGUUGUGUUUUAGCCGGAUCUUGGAGGGUGUAGUGAGUUAGCAGCUUCUCCGGGUCUCGACAGUAAGUUCUUCAGGAUUUGAGCAGCACUGAGGCAUCG